rnacentral:rRNA from 1 species
UUAAGCCAUGCGAGUCGAACGAGUUUAGGCUCGUGGCGUACGGCUCAGUGACACGUGGAUAACCUACCCUUAGGACUGGGAUAACCUUGGGAAACUGAGGAUAAUACCGGAUAGGCAAUUUUUCCUGUAAUGGUUCUUUGUUUAAAUGUUUUUUUUCGCCUAAGGAUGGGUCUGCGGCCGAUUAGGUAGUUGGUUAGGUUAAUGGCUUACCAAGCCUAUGAUCUGUACGGGUUGUGAGAGCMAGAGCCCGGAUAUGGAACCUGAGACAAGGUUCCAGGCCCUACGGGGUGCAGCAGGCGCGAAACCUCCGCAAUGUGAGAAAUCCCGACGGGGGGAUCCCAAGUGCCAUUCUGAAAAGGAGGGCUUUUCAUUACUGUAAAGAGCUUUUGGAAUAAGGGCUGGGCAAGACCGGUGCCARCCAGCCGCGGUACCACCGGCAGCUCUAGUGGUAGCAGUUUUUCUUGGACCUAAAGCGKCCGCAGCCGGUUUAAKGCCUAWCGGGUGAAUUCCUGUAKCUUAAMUGUGGUAGUUGAAUCAKGUACUAUUASACUGGGAAUUGGGGGAGAUAAUAUGUGCUCCCAGGCCAGGGGUGAUUAGCGGUACUCCCGGGAKGGMCGCCAAAUUCUAUAGUCUUUGGAUGACCCCGUGUUGAGAGGGAGUGUAAAUGGUAAGGGGCKCACGGUGAGGGACGAAAGUUAGGGGCGCGAACCGGAAUAGAUACCCAGGUAGUCCUGGGGUGAAAUGAAGCGGACUUGGUGUUGGGGUGGCUUUGAGAUGCUCCAGUGCCGGAGGGAAGCUGUUAAGUCCGCCGCCUGGGAAGWACGGUCGCAAGACUGAAACUUAAAGGAAUUGGCGGGGGUGCACCACAACGCGUGGAGCCUGCGGUUUAAUUGGAUUCAACGCCGGACAUCUCACCAGAGGCGACAGCUGUAUGAUAGCCAGGCUGAUGACUUUGCUUGAACUAGCUGAGAGGUGGUGCAUGGCCA